GACGAACGCUGGCGGCGUGCCUAAUACAUGCAAGUCGAACGCAGUGGGGACGGGUGAGUAACACGUGGGUAACCUCCCAUCAGACGGGAUAAAACUUGGAAACAGGUGCUCAACCGAUACUGAUGGAUGGACUCGCGGUGCAUUAGCGAGUUGGUGGGGUAACGGCUCACCAAGGCCACGAUCCAUAGCCGGCCUGAGAGGAUGACCUGCCACACUGGGACUGAGACACGGCCCAGACUCCUACGGGAGGCAGCAGUAGGGAAUCUUGCGCAAUGGGCGAAAUUCUGACCGAGCAACGCCGCGUGUGUGAAGAAGGGUUUCGGAUCGUAAAACACUGUUGUUGGGGAAGCGGUACCUAACCAGAAAGCCACGGCUAACUACGUGCCAGCAGCCGCGGUAAUAC
rnacentral:rRNA from 1 species